rnacentral:rRNA from 1 species
GAUUGAACGCUGGCGGCAGGCCUAACACAUGCAAGUCGAGCGGAUGAAGGGAGCUUGCUCCUGGAUUCAGCGGCGGACGGGUGAGUAAUGCCUAGGAAUCUGCCUGGUAGUGGGGGAUAACGUCCGGAAACGGGCGCUAAUACCGCAUACGUCCUGAGGGAGAAAGUGGGGGAUCUUCGGACCUCACGCUAUCAGAUGAGCCUAGGUCGGAUUAGCUAGUUGGUGGGGUAAAGGCCUACCAAGGCGACGAUCCGUAACUGGUCUGAGAGGAUGAUCAGUCACACUGGAACUGAGACACGGUCCAGACUCCUACGGGAGGCAGCAGUGGGGAAUAUUGGACAAUGGGCGAAAGCCUGAUCCAGCCAUGCCGCGUGUGUGAAGAAGGUCUUCGGAUUGUAAAGCACUUUAAGUUGGGAGGAAGGGCAGUAAGUUAAUACCUUGCUGUUUUGACGUUACCAACAGAAUAAGCACCGGCUAACUUCGUGCCAGCAGCCGCGGUAAUACGAAGGGUGCAAGCGUUAAUCGGAAUUACUGGGCGUAAAGCGCGCGUAGGUGGUUCAGCAAGUUGGAUGUGAAAUCCCCGGGCUCAACCUGGGAACUGCAUCCAAAACUACUGAGCUAGAGUACGGUAGAGGGUGGUGGAAUUUCCUGUGUAGCGGUGAAAUGCGUAGAUAUAGGAAGGAACACCAGUGGCGAAGGCGACCACCUGGGACUGAUACUGACACUGAGGUGCGAAAGCGUGGGGAGCAACAGGGAUUAGAUACCCUGGUAGUCCACGCCGUAAACGAUGUCGACUAGCCGUUGGGAUCCUUGAGAUCUUAGUGGCGCAGCUAACGCGAUAAGUCGACCGCCUGGGGAGUACGGCCGCAAGGUUAAAACUCAAAUGAAUUGACGGGGGCCCGCACAAGCGGUGGAGCAUGUGGUUUAAUUCGAAGCAACGCGAAGAACCUUACCUGGCCUUGACAUGCUGAGAACUUUCCAGAGAUGGAUUGGUGCCUUCGGGAACUCAGACACAGGUGCUGCAUGGCUGUCGUCAGCUCGUGUCGUGAGAUGUUGGGUUAAGUCCCGUAACGAGCGCAACCCUUGUCCUUAGUUACCAGCACCUCGGGUGGGCACUCUAAGGAGACUGCCGGUGACAAACCGGAGGAAGGUGGGGAUGACGUCAAGUCAUCAUGGCCCUUACGGCCAGGGCUACACACGUGCUACAAUGGUCGGUACAAAGGGUUGCCAAGCCGCGAGGUGGAGCUAAUCCCAUAAAACCGAUCGUAGUCCGGAUCGCAGUCUGCAACUCGACUGCGUGAAGUCGGAAUCGCUAGUAAUCGUGAAUCAGAAUGUCACGGUGAAUACGUUCCCGGGCCUUGUACACACCGCCCGUCACACCAUGGGAGUGGGUUGCUCCAGAAGUAGCUAGUCUAACCGCAAGGGGGACGGUUGCCACGGAGUGAUUCAUGACUGGGGUGA